rnacentral:lncRNA from 1 species
UGAAAAUGAUGCAUGUUAAUGUAAAUGCCGAGUAGAAAUGCAUAAUGAUAAGAUGCAAGUAGCUAAACAAUGCAUGAUAAUAAUGAUAUGAUGUAAAUGCUAAGUAGAUGCAUAUAACAGAUUAUAUAUGUAUGUGAAUAAGAAUGAAAUGCAUGUUGAUAACUCUAGAAUGAGUAGAAUGCUUAGUUGGACAACUAGCUUGUGAUUAGAUCGAGUGGCAUCUAACUUAGUGUUAAUAAACAU